rnacentral:lncRNA from 1 species
CCCCCCCCCCCCCCCCCCCCCCCCCCCCCCCCCCCCCCCCCCCCCCCCCGAGUGAAAACAAAAUUAACUUGUUUCACAAAACAACGUGCAUUUGGAACAUGUGUCGAGUCCAAGUGUUCCAUUUCUCUACCUUUCGCAUCAUGUUUUCACAAUUCGAGGUUUCCGGUGACAUUUUUCCCAUUGAACAAGCCUUUUUUGGUGCUCCGGCGACCCAGGUUCCUUCUGGUCUUGCUUGUCCUGUUCGUGGUGUUGGUGAUCUUUCCGUGCAGGUGGUUGAUCGUGGCGCACAGUCAAAGAACACCUCGGGUGCACGACCGAAAUCUCCGAGGAGCCGGACCGCUGACAUUUCUUCCUCCAAGCAACCGGGUCGUGUGGUCCAGUGCCCCCCACAGUUGAUGGGCCCCCUACGUGGUCAUCUCCAAGACGUCAUCUGGAAUCCCCCAAACAUCAUCCCUUCAUCAGGAAACAUUUUUCAACGAUUUGUUCCUCGUGGGCAGAGGAGUCAGGUGGGUGAGCAAAGGAAUCGUUCUCAAUCAGGAGUGGAAGAUCCAUCUGGAAGCCGUGGGCCACAACAAUGGGCUCUCCGAAACUCCCCACACUCAUCAAUGAACAUCAGUGGUGGUUUCACGAGUUGCACUUUACAACCCAAACCUGCUCCAAACCUGGGGGGGGGGGGGGGGGGGGGGGGGGGGGGGGGGGGGGGGGGGGGGGGGGGGGGGGGGGGGGGGGGGGGGGGGGGGGGGGGGGGGGGGGGGGGGGGGGGGGGGGGGGGGGGGGGGGGGGGGGGGGGGGGGGGGGGACCACGGACGACCCUCGCUGUCGGAGUUUGGGAACCACACCAGCAUUACCACGUUGGAGAGAGGAUGACAUCUCACGAUCUUUGUGUGGACUGCUGCCGCCCUUCCUCAGAAACUACAAAACGGUCUCUUCGUCCACAGUAGACUCCACCGGCUCGAGAUUAGAGUUCAUUAUUGGGUUUAUAUAGAAUUGAUCUCGCAAUUAUUUCAGUUUGUCUUUGUUAUCAUUUCGCUGGAUCUUGC